rnacentral:rRNA from 1 species
UCUUAGCUUGCUAAGGCCGAUGGCGACCGGCGCACGGGUGAGUAACACGUAUCCAACCUGCCGUCUACUCUUGGACAGCCUUCUGAAAGGAAGAUUAAUACAAGAUGGCAUCAUGAGUCCGCAUGUUCACAUGAUUAAAGGUAUUCCGGUAGACGAUGGGGAUGCGUUCCAUUAGAUAGUAGGCGGGGUAACGGCCCACCUAGUCUUCGAUGGAUAGGGGUUCUGAGAGGAAGGUCCCCCACAUUGGAACUGAGACACGGUCCAAACUCCUACGGGAGGCAGCAGUGAGGAAUAUUGGUCAAUGGGCGAGAGCCUGAACCAGCCAAGUAGCGUGAAGGAUGACUGCCCUAUGGGUUGUAAACUUCUUUUAUAAAGGAAUAAAGUCGGGUAUGGAUACCCGUUUGCAUGUACUUUAUGAAUAAGGAUCGGCUAACUCCGUGCCAGCAGCCGCGGUAAUACGGAGGAUCCGAGCGUUAUCCGGAUUUAUUGGGUUUAAAGGGAGCGUAGAUGGAUGUUUAAGUCAGUUGUGAAAGUUUGCGGCUCAACCGUAAAAUUGCAGUUGAUACUGGAUAUCUUGAGUGCAGUUGAGGCAGGCGGAAUUCGUGGUGUAGCGGUGAAAUGCUUAGAUAUCACGAAGAACUCCGAUUGCGAAGGCAGCCUGCUAAGCUGCAACUGACAUUGAGGCUCGAAGGUGUGGGUAUCAAACA